ACACAUGCAAGUCGAACGGCAGCACGGGAGCAAUCCUGGUGGCGAGUGGCGAACGGGUGAGUAAUACAUCGGAACGUGCCCAGUAGUGGGGAUAGCCCGGCGAAAGCCGGAUUAAUACCGCAUACGACCUACGGGUGAAAGCGGGGGAUCGCAAGACCUCGCGCUAUUGGAGCGGCCGAUGUCAGAUUAGCUUGUUGGUGGGGUAAAAGCCUACCAAGGCGACGAUCUGUAGCUGGUCUGAGAGGACGACCAGCCACACUGGGACUGAGACACGGCCCAGACUCCUACGGGAGGCAGCAGCGGGGAAUUUUGGACAAUGGGCGCAAGCCUGAUCCAGCCAUGCCGCGUGCGGGAAGAAGGCCUUCGGGUUGUAAACCGCUUUUGUCAGGGAAGAAACGGUCUGAUCUAAUAAAUCGGACUAAUGACGGUACCUGAAGAAUAAGCACC
rnacentral:rRNA from 1 species